rnacentral:rRNA from 1 species
GAUGAACGCUAGCUACAGGCUUAACACAUGCAAGUCGAGGGGCAGCGGUAUCGAAAGCUUGCUUUCGGUAGCCGGCGACCGGCGCACGGGUGAGUAACGCGUAUCGAACCUGCCUCAUACUCGGGAAUAGCCUUGCGAAAGUAAGAUUAAUGCCCGGUGUUUUCAGAGUCCCGCAUGAGGCUUUGAACAAAGAUUUAUCGGUAUGAGAUGGCGAUGCGUCCCAUUAGCUUGUUGUCGGGGUAACGGCCCACCAAGGCAUCGAUGGGUAGGGGUUCUGAGAGGAAGGUCCCCCACAUUGGAACUGAGACACGGUCCAAACUCCUACGGGAGGCAGCAGUGAGGAAUAUUGGUCAAUGGGCGGAAGCCUGAACCAGCCAAGUAGCGUGCAGGAAGACGGCCCUCCGGGUUGUAAACUGCUUUUAGUUGGGAAUAAAACGGGGCUCGUGAGCCCCCUUGCAUGUACCAUCAGAAAAAGAACCGGCUAAUUCCGUG